GCCGCUAUAGCUCAGAUGGUAGAGCGCUUGCCUUGUAAGCAAGAUGUCCCGAGUUCGAUCCUUGGUGGCGGCACCA
rnacentral:tRNA from 1 species